rnacentral:rRNA from 1 species
UACGUAGGGUGCAAGCGUUUGUCCGGAAUUAUUGGGCGUAAAGAGCUCGUAGGCGGUUUGUCGCGUCUGCUGUGAAAUCCCGAGGCUCAACCUCGGGCCUGCAGUGGGUACGGGCAGACUAGAGUGCGGUAGGGGAGACUGGAAUUCCUGGUGUAGCGGUGAAAUGCGCAGAUAUCAGGAGGAACACCGGUGGCGAAGGCGGGUCUCUGGGCCGAUACUGACGCUGGAGGAGCGAAAGCGUGGGGAGCGAACAGG